AAGCGGCCCAUUCACUUUUUUCCUUUACACCAAGAGUUUUUUUGCCAUGCAAAAAUGUGCAAAGGAAGGGCAGGGCAAAGGGAUAGUUUGUGACCAAUUAUGUAUCAGACCCCAUGGGUAGAGGAACAUGGUUUAAUACUACCGGCGAGUCAAAAGUAACCAGAGAGUCUGGUGCCAAAGCUAGCCCAACGUGAGAUCACUGAGAGCCAAUGGUCAGCAACUCUGCUGAAUUCAAUUUAAACCUACUAAUAUCUUGCGGACACAUCCACCAGGGACAACUUGACAUACAGACACUAUUGUUGUAUAGUCAAGGCCCCAAAAGCAUCACAAUAAAAUUACUUCCAAGAGGCAUGUCUUCCUAUAAUAUUUCUGUGAUAGAUUUAUAUAAGAGAAUGCAUUACUGUCAUAAAUCUA
rnacentral:lncRNA from 1 species